rnacentral:rRNA from 1 species
AGCAGUAGCCGCGGGAACACGUAGGUGGCAAGCGUUGUCCGGAAUUAUUGGGCGUAAAGGGCUCGCAGGCGGUUUCUUAAGUCUGAUGUGAAAGCCCCCGGCUCAACCGGGGAGGGUCAUUGGAAACUGGGAAACUUGAGUGCAGAAGAGGAGAGUGGAAUUCCACGUGUAGCGGUGAAAUGCGUAGAGAUGUGGAGGAACACCAGUGGCGAAGGCGACUCUCUGGUCUGUAACUGACGCUGAGGAGCGAAAGCUAGGGGAGCAAAUGGGAUUAGAUACCCGAGUAGUCCCUGUCUCUUAUAC